UACGGCCGUAUCACGAGCAAACACCCGUUCUCGUACGAUCACCGAAGUUAAGAAACGUCAAGCCUGGUCAGUACUUAGAUGGGCAACCGCUUGGGAAUGCCAGGUGCUU